UCCUUGUGGUCCAGUGGCUAAGACUCUGUGCUCCCAGUGCAGUUGGCCCAGGUUCAAUCCCUGGUCAAGGAA
rnacentral:tRNA from 1 species